ACCUUCUUACCCUCUUCAUGAUUUCCGUUAACGUCAGAGAAUGCAGCCCAUGUGCACAAAGCAAAGCUGCAACUCCCUGUGCGUCCAGUGAACGUGGCUGGAAGAUUCAAUAGAGCAGGACAAACGUAUUUCCAGGCUGGAGCAUUGGCAGGUCCCACUCUCCUCACUCAGUGGCGUGCCUGGAAACGCUUGCAUGCAAGCCCUCAUCAGCUACAGGAAGCCAACCAUUGCAACUGAUGAACUCUGCUCGCUUCACAGGUGGCACCAAAUCCAGCCCUCACAUCCUGCACGCUCUGUCCUCAUCCAGCUGGCAGAUGGGCUGUCAGCAGAAACACACAUUUCUGGGGACCUCUUGAAACACAGGGAAUUUCUG